UACGGAGGAUCCGAGCGUUAUCCGGAUUUAUUGGGUUUAAAGGGUGCGCAGGCGGGAAAUUAAGUCGGCGGUGAAAUUUUGCGGCUCAACCGUAAAAGUGCCUUCGAUACUGGUUUUCUUGAGUGUAGCUGAAGUAGGCGGAAUUUGUGGUGUAGCGGUGAAAUGCUUAGAUAUCACGAGGAACUCCGAUUGCGCAGGCAGCUUACUAAAAUACAACUGACGCUUAGGCACGAAGGCGUGGGGAUCAAACAGGAUUAGAUACCCGGGUAGUCCCUGAGCGGG
rnacentral:rRNA from 1 species